rnacentral:rRNA from 1 species
CAGCCGCCGCGGGAAAACAGAGGGUGCGAGCGUUAAUCGGAUUUACUGGGCGUAAAGCGUGCGUAGGCGGCUUCUUAAGUCGGAUGUGAAAUCCCUGAGCUUAACUUAGGAAUUGCAUUCGAUACUGGGAAGCUAGAGUAUGGGAGAGGAUGGUAGAAUUCCAGGUGUAGCGGUGAAAUGCGUAGAGAUCUGGAGGAAUACCGAUGGCGAAGGCAGCCAUCUGGCCUAAUACUGACGCUCAGGUGCGAAAGCGUGGGGAGCAAACAGGAUUAGAGACCCCUGUAGUCCCUGUCUCUUAUAC